UACGUAGGGUGCGAGCGUUAAUCGGAAUUACUGGGCGUAAAGCGUGCGCAGGCGGUUUUGUAAGACAGAUGUGAAAUCCCCGGGCUUAACCUGGGAACUGCAUUUGUGACUGCAAGGCUAGAGUACGGGCAGAGGGGGGUAGAAUUCCACGUGUAGCAGUGAAAUGCGUAGAUAUGUGGAGGAAUACCGAUGGCGAAGGCAGCCCCCUGGGUCGAUACUGACGCUCAUGCACGAAAGCGUGGGGAGCAAACAGG
rnacentral:rRNA from 1 species